CGCGGUGUAGCUCAGUUAGUUGAGAGCGCGCGGCUCAUACCCGCGAGGUCACUGGGGCAGAGCCAGUCACCGCAACCA
rnacentral:tRNA from 1 species